CGGACGGGUGAGUAAUGCCUAGGAAAUUGCCUUGAUGUGGGGGAUAACCAUUGGAAACGAUGGCUAAUACCGCAUAAUGCCUACGGGCCAAAGAGGGGGACCUUCGGGCCUCUCGCGUCAAGAUAUGCCUAGGUGGGAUUAGCUAGUUGGUGAGGUAAUGGCUCACCAAGGCGACGAUCCCUAGCUGGUCUGAGAGGAUGAUCAGCCACACUGGAACUGAGACACGGUCCAGACUCCUACGGGAGGCAGCAGUGGGGAAUAUUGCACAAUGGGCGAAAGCCUGAUGCAGCCAUGCCGCGUGUAUGAAGAAGGCCUUCGGGUUGUAAAGUACUUUCAGUUGUGAGGAAGGGGGUAGUGUUAAUAGCGCUAUCUCUUGACGUUAGCAACAGAAGAAGCACCGGCUAACUCCGUGCCAGCAGCCGCGGUAAUACGGAGGGUGCGAGCGUUAAUCGGAAUUACUGGGCGUAAAGCGCAUGCAGGUGGUUCAUUAAGUCAGAUGUGAAAGCCCGGGGCUCAACCUCGGAACUGCAUUUGAAACUGGUGAACUAGAGUACUGUAGAGGGGGGUAGAAUUUCNGGUGUAGCGGUGAAAUGCGUAGAGAUCUGANGGAAUACCAGUGGCGAAGGCGGCCCCCUGNNNAGAUACUGACACUCANAUGCGAAAGCGUGGGGAGCAAACAGG
rnacentral:rRNA from 1 species